CGUUGGGGUUGGGUUAGUCGGUUAGAUGGUAGAUUGGCUGGUACAUAUGUUUAGGUUACGUACACUUACACAUAUUCUACAUUUAAACUAAAUUACAUAAUUGUUUAUUUUAUAUAUUUUUUGGUGCAAAAUACAGCCCUGGGUGGUCUUUCCUCAAACCCAUUUUCUUUGCCAGUCCAUUUUGCAUAUUUUCGUUUUCGCUUUCCAAUUUUUGAUGAAGGCCUUCAUUUUUGGUCUAGCGUUUUUCUCUUUGCGGCCUGAUUUAUGUCGCUCUCAUGCAACGGAAUGCGACCAGGUUGAUGUAUGAUUUAAAUUUUAUGAAAAUCAUUUGAAAUAUUUUCGUAUGCGAUUGGACAAAGAAAAUGUUUUGAUUUCAUAUCACCGAUCUUGCGUGUCGAUUUUUUUUCUCGUUUUCGUUUUUUUCGCUUGUUUUUUUUGUUCCUCUCUUCAGCUGUUGGUUGGAAAGAACUAAACCUUGCUUGAAUAAUUUAAAGUUUUUUUAUAUGUAUUUUUUUGUUUUUAAUUUUUCUUCUCUCAUUCGUUGAUUUUAAUAUUCAUUAUUCUUUUCUCCUAUAAAAUGCUGCAAAUAUUAGAUUUGAAUCUUCUUUGUUUUCUUUGUAAGCAACACGGGGAAUAGAAGAGGAAGAAAACUCAUUUUUUGCGGGUAGUUGGAGGGGGAGUGGGAGAGAAAGAGGUGGCAAAAUAUUUUAAUUCCUUAUUAUUAAUUGACCUUCUUCAUUUUCAUUUUUACGAACCUUAGGUGAGGUAGUGUAAAGAGUGGAGGGUAGGGGUUGGGUAUUUUUAAUGGGUAAUUUAUUCAUAAUUUUGCCUAGUUUCUGUUUUCUUCAUUCAUUAUGCAUAAUUGUAAUGGGUUCGUCUUGAAAAUAUGGUAAUACAUUUUGCUAUCGUUAUUCGCAAUGACCUCAACCAAACACAUUCACAGGGAAAAGAACACAAUGAGCAAAACAAAUGAAAGCCUUAAACAAGUAAUUGGCGAAAUCGCACUAAUAGCAUAAGACAAUUGUUGUAGUUAAGGUGAGCGAGAAUAUCUACCGCGGCGGUCCAUUUCAACAGCAAAGACAAACGGAUACUAAAGGUGUGGUUGUGAAAUAGUCUUCCAACGUGUUUGACUCAUUCAAUAUGUUUUCGAAAAUCAUAUGGCCUUAUAUUGAUCUCCACGAACACCACUGCGUAUGAGUGUGGUAUUGUAAAAAAAAAAAAAAUAAACCAAGUAUAAGCUCAUCCCGGCAACUGAGUUGGUGGCGUGCUCGGAUAACCCGUGCGGAUAGCCGUGGGCUCGUUAUCGACCAGAGGCCAUGUCUUUCGCUACUGUGGUAUCACCAUGGACCAAAAUCGGAUUGAGACUUUUGUUAUGCUCUAACCCAAUGGCAAAUCGAAAAUAGAGAACAAAAUAAAAACAUAUGAACGGGGGGCAAAUAUGAAUCAAUACCACAGAAAUAUGUGUAUGUCACUCCAGUGGGGAAUACAAUAGAACAAUAGUCGUCAACUCAAACAACACCAAAUGAAAAGAACAGAUACUUAACUUGGAAGACCAACAAAAAGAACAAAUAACGACAAUAAAAAUUUAAAAAAAAAACGAAAUUAUUAAAACAUGAAUUAUACUUUCCAACACAAAUAAAACUUGUUAAAGUAGCACAACCUAAAAAAAAAAUGAAAUAAAAACAUUACAUUUUCCA
rnacentral:sRNA from 14 species